rnacentral:lncRNA from 1 species
UACUAUCUAAGCCCAUUAUCCAAAACUCAUUAAAACCAUUAACCCAUAAACCCAUAUACAUAAACCCAUAUACAUUUACCCAUAAACCCAUACACAUUUAACCCAUAUCCAAGCCCAUAACCUUAACCAAGUCCAUGAACUUUGAACUAAAACCAUGGACCAAACCAUAUACCAAAUCCUGUGGACCAUACCAUACACCAAAUCCACAAACUAUGAAUCAAGUUCAUGAACCAUAAGCCCAUGAACCACAAGUUCAUAAACCCAUGAACCAUACCACAAGUUCAUGAACCAUAAGCCCAUGAACCAAACCCAUAAACCAUAAGUCCAUGAACCAUAAACCCAUGAACCAUAUCUAAGUUCAUGAACCAUAAUCCCAUAUACCCAAUACCAUAAACCUUGUGAACCAAACCCAAACCUUCGACCGAAACGUCGUUAAACUAAUCCACCAAAUCAAUCGACCGAAACGUCGUUAAACUAAACCUAAAUCCGAUAUCGACCGAAAUGUCGUUAAACUAAACUCAAAUUCAAUUUUCAUGAACAUCCCAAUUCCCAAAAUAUUUGAUUCUCUAGCAUAUAAAACUAGAGUCAAAUCACAAUCAUGUUCAAACUUGAUCAAAUUCUAAACCUAUAUUUAGAAUUGAUCAAACCAUCUGAUCAAAUUAAUUUGUUGGAUUCCAAUACAUACACUUGGAGUUUAAUUUAAAUC